rnacentral:rRNA from 1 species
GACAGAGGGUGCAAACGUUGUUCGGAAUUACUGGGCGUAAAGCGUGUGUAGGCGGUCUGCUAAGUCGGGUGUGAAAGCCCUGGGCUCAACCCAGGAAGUGCACUCGAAACUGGCAGGCUAGAGUAUCGGAGAGGUUGGUGGAAUUCUCGGUGUAGAGGUGAAAUUCGUAGAUAUCGAGAGGAACACCGGUGGCGAAGGCGGCCAACUGGACGAAUACUGACGCUGAGACACGAAAGCGUGGGGAGCAAACAGG